rnacentral:rRNA from 1 species
UACGUAGGGGGCAAGCGUUGUCCGGAUUUAUUGGGCGUAAAGAGCGUGUAGGCGGCCAGACAGGUCCGUUGUGAAAACUCGAGGCUCAACCUCGAGAUGUCGAUGGAAACCGUCUGGCUAGAGUCCGGAAGAGGAGUGUGGAAUUCCUGGUGUAGCGGUGAAAUGCGCAGAUAUCAGGAAGAACACCUAUGGCGAAGGCAGCACUCUGGGACGGUACUGACGGCUGAGACGCGAAAGCGUGGGGAGCGAACAGG